UGAACGCUGGCGGUAUGCCUAACACAUGCAAGUCGUACGAGGGUUUUUAACUCUAGUGGCGGACGGGUGAGUAACACGUGAGAAUUUGCCUUUAGGAGGGGGAUAACAAUCGGAAACGAAUGCUAAUACCCCGAUAUGCUUUUGAGUGAAAUGGAUUUAUCCGCCUAAAGAGAAGCUCGCGGCUGAUUAGCUUGUUGGUAAGGUAAGAGCUUACCAAGGCGACGAUCAGUAUCUGGUUUGAGAGGACGAUCAGACACACUGGAACUGAGACACGGUCCAGACUCCUACGGGAGGCAGCAGUGGGGAAUUUUCCGCAAUGGGCGAAAGCCUGACGGAGCAA
rnacentral:rRNA from 1 species